rnacentral:lncRNA from 1 species
AAAAAAACUUGUGGGAACAAAGUAGAAAACAGUAUUAUGAAAAGUUACCAAAAAAGUUAUGAAAAAGAAGUUACGGGAUUCUUUUUUAAAAAGUCAUGGAAUAAAAAUAAAAAUUAAAAGCAGGCCCCUGUCAGCAAAGCCUGGAGAAGUGGGGCUGGGGUCUCCACCGCCACCAUGUCCCUACCACCCCUUCCCAGGCAGCCCUUUACAAUGAGGGUAGCAGGACAAGACCUCUGUCUAAUGGGGAAAGACAAACAGACCCUUUGCCACCCUGACCAGGGCUGAGUCCCUACAUUUCUGGAUGAUGAUGAUUGUUAUUUAAGAGCCAGAGGCUGGUGGAGUUGGUUUGUUUGGAGGAGGCCUGAUGCCCCCCUUACUCUCACCAUAGCAACUUUUUCCUCAGGGGGGCUCCCACCUUCUUAUUCAGAGAGGCAGGACAGUGGGGCUAACUGUGGACCAGGCGAGGGCACGGGCUGCUGGGGUGGCCCCCGUUCCCCGGUGUACACAUUGUGUCUGUGUAAGGUUUUGUAUAUUCCAGAGGGUAGGGCCACCCCUGUGUCAUACCUAGCUGAGGUUGGAGCCGGCACAUGGGGAGGAGGUUGUAAUAAUUAUUUGUGGCUGGGAAACUUAUUUAUUGCUAGCAUAGGACAGAGGAAGGAGGCG